rnacentral:rRNA from 1 species
UGAGGAAUUUUCCGCAAUGGGCGAAAGCCUGACGGAGCAAUGCCGCGUGAAGGAUGAAGGCCUAUGGGUUGUAAACUUCUUUUCUCAGAGAAGAAAUUUUGACGGUAUCUGAGGAAUAAGCAUCGGCUAACUCUGUGCCAGCAGCCGCGGUAAGACAGAGGAUGCAAGCGUUAUCCGGAAUAAUUGGGCGUAAAGCGUCUGUAGGUGGUUAGACAAGUCUUUUGUCAAAGAUCAGGGCUUAACCCUGGGCCGGCAAGAGAAACUAUUUGACUAGAGUUCGGUAGGGGCAGAGGGAAUUCCCGGUGGAGCGGUGAAAUGCGUAGAGAUCGGGAGGAACACCAAAGGCGAAAGCACUCUGCUGGGCCGCCACUGACACUGAGAGACGAAAGCGAGGGGAGCAAAUGGG